rnacentral:rRNA from 1 species
UCGAGCGGAACGAGUUAUCUGAACCUUCGGGGGAACGAUAACGGCGUCGAGCGGCGGACGGGUGAGUAAUGCCUAGGAAAUUGCCCUGAUGUGGGGGAUAACCAUUGGAAACGAUGGCUAAUACCGCAUGAUGCCUACGGGCCAAAGAGGGGGACCUUCGGGCCUCUCGCGUCAGGAUAUGCCUAGGUGGGAUUAGCUAGUUGGUGAGGUAAGGGCUCACCAAGGCGACGAUCCCUAGCUGGUCUGAGAGGAUGAUCAGCCACACUGGAACUGAGACACGGUCCAGACUCCUACGGGAGGCAGCAGUGGGGAAUAUUGCACAAUGGGCGCAAGCCUGAUGCAGCCAUGCCGCGUGUGUGAAGAAGGCCUUCGGGUUGUAAAGCACUUUCAGUCGUGAGGAAGGUAGUGUAGUUAAUAGCUGCAUUAUUUGACGUUAGCGACAGAAGAAGCACCGGCUAACUCCGUGCCAGCAGCCGCGGUAAUACGGAGGGUGCGAGCGUUAAUCGGAAUUACUGGGCGUAAAGCGCAUGCAGGUGGUUUGUUAAGUCAGAUGUGAAAGCCCGGGGCUCAACCUCGGAAUUGCAUUUGAAACUGGCAGACUAGAGUACUGUAGAGGGGGGUAGAAUUUCAGGUGUAGCGGUGAAAUGCGUAGAGAUCUGAAGGAAUACCGGUGGCGAAGGCGGCCCCCUGGACAGAUACUGACACUCAGAUGCGAAAGCGUGGGGAGCAAACAGGAUUAGAUACCCUGGUAGUCCACGCCGUAAACGAUGUCUACUUGGAGGUUGUGGCCUUGAGCCGUGGCUUUCGGAGCUAACGCGUUAAGUAGACCGCCUGGGGGAGUACGGUCGCAAGAUUAAAACUCAAAUGAAUUGACCGGGGGCCCGCCACAAGCGGUGGAGCAUGGUGGUUUAAUUUCGAUGCAACGCGAAGAAUCCUUACCUACUCUUGACAUCCAGAAGAACUUUCCAGAGAUGGAUUGGUGCCUUCGGGAACUCUGAGACAGUGCUGCAUGCUGUCGUCAGCUCGUGUUGUGAAUGUUGGGAUAGUCCCGCACGAGCGCACCGUUAUCGUUGCUUGGCAGGCGAGUAAUUGUUCAGGUACUCCAUGCAAGACUGGCUGGUGAUAAUGGAAGAAGGUGGGGACCAACGG